GUCACCAGUCGCUCAGUGGUUAGAGCAUCCGAAUGGAUAACGGAGGGGCGUGGGUUCAAAUCCCAUCUGGGACU
rnacentral:tRNA from 1 species